GUUCAUCAUUCAAAAGAAAGUCCUAAUGAAAGCUUAAUAUCUUAGCCUGAUAGAAGUUUAAUGCUGCAAAAUAUCCAAUCAUGUUGAUCUUGUAGAGAUCUUGGAAUCAAAUCGUGAAUCAUUAUUUCUUGUGUUUCUAUUGAUGAUACCUGUCAGGCUGGUUGUGGGCCUCGCUCCCGGUGAUCUCGCCGCAGCUUCUUCAUCUCCGGCGUGGGCAUCCUCAUCCUCUCCAGCGAUCUCGGGCUUUUGAUCCUGGAACACUCGUGGUGCCAUCAUUGCGAAUUUCCAUCGAGGGUUUGCGAGUAAUUGGAUUGUUAGUUGUCAUGGAGAAAAAAAUUAUAUCCAAUUCUGAUGCUGUUGAUGUUGAAUCAUUCUGGGAAUUGUAAUUGGACGGUGUACAUCAUAGAGUUGAUUAGCAAUUUGGAUAUUGAGAAUGCUGUCAUAGAACUUAAGGUUGGAAGAGAUUGUGAAUGAAGUUAUACCAAGUUUUCUAUUGACAGCAUGGUGUGCUUGGAGAUUGGAUCCAAGAAAUAACAACCAGGGUGGGGUGGUUGGCAAUUAGGAAAAGAAUGCUUGGAUCCCACACCUUCUUUCCUUUAGUUCACUAAAGUUAUAAUUUCAGAUUGAAGACUUGAAGCACAAACCUCUUGAGGAGUGCUGAUAGCUUAAUACUUGACCUUGGCCCUUCAUUUGUUGUAUUCUAUUUGUCCUUCCCUUUUGCUGUCCUCAGAAUUGUAACCAUGAACACAUGCUGUUCUGAUUUUUCAGUUCUUGACAAGAUAAGAAGACUUGGGCUGUUAUCCUUCUUUUAGAAGUCUGCCCACUUUAGAGUUUGUUUGGCUGUUGCUCAUUAUUCUGUUAAUGUAGUCUUUCUUUAAUUCAUGGAGUCACUAUCAUUCAUGAAGCCAAGCCACUACUUGCAUUUGUUCACAAAAUUUUUGUGAUUCAUAGGUAAUUCAAAUUCGCAACUGUGGUAAAUUUAUUGUUGUUGUUGUUGUUCCUUAGCACUACACAUUCUCUGGUUCAUCAUCAUCAUGUACAUGAGAUAAACCAUUUGAUUUUA